rnacentral:rRNA from 1 species
GACAGAGGGUGCAAACGUUGUUCGGAAUUACUGGGCGUAAAGCGCGUGUAGGCGGCCCUGCAAGUCGGAUGUGAAAUCCCACGGCUCAACCGUGGAAGUGCAUUCGAAACUGCAGGGCUAGAGUCCUGGAGAGGAAGGUGGAAUGCUUGGUGUAGAGGUGAAAUUCGUAGAUAUCAAGCGGAACACCGGUGGCGAAGGCGGCUACCUGGACAGAAACUGACGCUGAGGCGCGAAAGCUAGGGGAGCAACAGG